GAUGAACGCUGGCGGCGUGCCUAAUACAUGCAAGUCGAGCGAACGGACGAGAAGCUUGCUUCUCUGAUGUUAGCGGCGGACGGGUGAGUAACACGUGGAUAACCUACCUAUAAGACUGGGAUAACUUCGGGAAACCGGAGCUAAUACUGGAUAAUAUUUUGAACCGCAUGGUUCAAAAGUGAAAGACGGUCUUGCUGUCACUUAUAGAUGGAUCCGCGCUGCAUUAGCUAGUUGGUAAGGUAACGGCUUACCAAGGCAACGAUGCAUAGCCGACCUGAGAGGGUGAUCGGCCACACUGGAACUGAGACACGGUCCAGACUCCUACGGGAGGCAGCAGUAGGGAAUCUUCCGCAAUGGGCGAAAGCCUGACGGAGCAACGCCGCGUGAGUGAUGAAGGUCCUCGGAUCGUAAAACUCUGUUAUUAGGGAAGAACAUAUGUGUAAGUAACUGUGCACAUCUUGACGGUACCUAAUCAGAAAGCCACGGCUAACUACGUG
rnacentral:rRNA from 1 species